GGGGAGUUAGCUCAGCAUGGAUAGAGCGCUUCUCUUACAAAGAAGAGGUCGCUGGUUUGAGCCCAGCGCUCCCUA
rnacentral:tRNA from 1 species